AAGGAUCAUUACCGAGUCCGGGUGUCUCUCGACGCUCGACCUCCAACCCUUUGUCUACCUGACCUUAUGUUGCUUCGGCGGACCCGCCCCUUAAACCGGGCCGCCGGGGGUGUCUAUACCCCUGGCCCGCGUCCGUCGACAGCCCUUAUUCAAAUUCUUGUUAAUAAACGUGUCGUCUGAAUAAAAAACAAAAAUUAAUUAAAACUUUCAACAACGGAUCUCUUGGUUCUGGCAUCGAUGAAGAACGCAGCGAAAUGCGAUAAGUAAUGCGAAUUGCAGAAUCCGUGAGUCAUCGAAUCUUUGAACGCACAUUGCGCCCUCGAGUAUUCUUGAGGGCAUGCCUGUUCGAGCGUCAUUAUCACCCCUCAAGCCUGGCUUGCUGUUGGAACCUGCCCCUCACCCGGGCUGUUCCCAAAGAUAAUGACAGCGUCUGCGAGGACUCCAGUACACUGAGCUUUCGGGCACGUACUCGGUCAAAGGACUCCAGGCCCGGUCUAACUUAUUUUAUUAUACCAAGGUUGACCUCGGAUCAGGUAGGAAUACCCGCUGAACUUAA
rnacentral:rRNA from 1 species